rnacentral:rRNA from 1 species
GACGAACGCUGGCGGCGUGCCUAACACAUGCAAGUCGAGCGGAGUCGAUCGACGGAAGCCUUCGGCGGAAGAUGGUUGACUUAGCGGCGGAUGGGUGAGUAACGCGUGGGCAACCUGCCUCGAAGACCGGGAUAACAGUCCGAAAGGGCUGCUAAUACCGGAUGUGGUCAAGGAUCCGCAUGGAUUUUUGAUUAAAGGGGAAACCCGUUUCGAGAUGGGCCCGCGUCCUAUCAGCUAGUUGGUGAGGUAAAAGCUCACCAAGGCGACGACGGGUAGCCGGCCUGAGAGGGUGACCGGCCACACUGGAACUGAGACACGGUCCAGACUCCUACGGGGGGCAGCAGUGGGGAAUCUUCCACAAUGGGCGAAAGCCUGAUGGAGCGACGCCGCGUGAGCGAAGAAGGCCUUCGGGUUGUAAAGCUCUGUCUGGAGGGACGAAGGAAGUGACGGUACCUCCGGAGGAAGCCACGGCUAACUACGUG